ACGUGCACACACAUCAAUACACAUUCAUGCCUGUGCCAUGCUGCUCCCCUGCCUGGAGUGCUUCAUGAGCCUUCAGAAAGC